rnacentral:rRNA from 1 species
UUUUUUAAUUGAAAACUUGUAUGAAAGGUUGAAUAAAAUAUAAGCUGUUUCAGAAAAAAUAUAAAUAGAAUUUUAUUAUUUAGUUAAAAAGCUAAAAUUUGUAUAAAAGACGAGAAGACCCUAUAAAGUUUUAUAAUUAAUUUAUAAUAAUUUAUAAAAAUUUAUUAAAGUUUUUAUAAAUUAAUUAUUUUGUUGGGGUGAUAAUAAAAUUUAAUAAACUUUUAUUAUUUUUUACAUUAAUUAAUGAAUUGAUGAUCCUUUAUUAAAGAUUAAAAAAUUAAAUUACUUUAGGGAUAACAGCGUAAUUUUUUUUUUAAGUUCAUAUUUAUAAAAAAGUUUGC